GGCUUCAGAUCUGGAUGCAGUACUCCAGGACCGUUGCCUCAUUCAGAGGAUGGCAGGGAACAUCUCUGCCAGCUGGGCAUGGCUGGAGUGCCCCAUUCCCAUAGGAGCUGCGUAAGGAGGACACAGAGUUCCAGGGAUUUCCAUGAAUUGCUGUCAGGACAGAAGAAGGCAACAGAUUGCAACUGUGGGAUCUGCUGUUUCAGCUCCGCUGACACGUCAUUCCCUCAGGACACCCAGUGACCUGGUUAAUCUAGUUCUUUGCUUCUGACUUCUCCUCGUAAAUGAUUUAUCAACUGGCGUGGAUCCCUGUUUGCUUAAGGAGGCGUGUGACGACCUCUAGCAGACCAGCUGCACAAAGCUGCCUUUGGCACCCGGCUGCUGGUCCCAGCUCCUGACCCUUGGCACGGGGAGCAGAAGGACGGGGCACCGGCUGAGCCCACUGGCAAGGGCUGAUGCAGGGAGCUGUGGGCAGUGUUUGCACAGCCCUGUGGAGAGCCCCGGUGACUAAGCCAUUGGUUUGUCAGCAAGGGUGCUUGCAGGCCUGCCUCAGCUUGCCCUGACCCCCACAACACAGAGGUACUGGCUGGGUGGCUGGCUGCCCUGCUCACUGUAUACAGGCUGCAGGGUACAAGCCACAAGACACAUCAGCCAUGACAGAGCCAGCCUUCAGGUCUGUGUACUCCAGAGGAAAACUGACAUGAGCAUCCAUCACCUUGCCCAUCCUCACAAAGAUGCAUCGGUGGCAAUGACAGUGGUGUCUGAACCAGGUGCAGCUCUGGAGGUCAUUGCCAUGCACACAUGCAUAGGUCAAUACGUGUGUUGUCACACAAGAAACACUGUAGCUUAAAAAGAAGUAGGUACAGACCUAAACUUGAGCACACAAGCCAGGGAGGCGAGGGACGAUCCUUCAAGCUUUCCAUCCUGCCUUUGUACAGGAGGCUAGAGGAGCAUGGAAAGACAUCAGAUAUCACAAAUUGGGCACCCCAUAAAGAUUUGUCUAUGGGCAACUCCCUGCUUUCCCUUCAGGACAGUUAUUGCCACUUCCUGCUCUGAUUGUUUCAAAUCUGGUUAUCUUGAGUUAUGCCUGUUCUGGCAAAUAUGGUGCAGCAGAGGGGAGGUCCUGUAUGCAUGCCACAGAUCACAGAGAUUAGCACAGGAGGAAUAGCUCAGACAAGAUGCUCGAGGCAGGUAUUGGGAGGCUGACAACAGAGCUGUGCAAUGAUUAAAAUCGUAAGACUGUUUAAAAAAAUCUUAAUUUUGGAAGAUGCAGAGCCAUGCUGAAUUUCUAGGUGGCCAGAGGCUGCUUCAGAAGGGUAGCACCCAGCAGAAAGGGAAGCUGAAGAAGCCCACUCCAAUACCAACACCGACACCCCCAUUCCCAAGAAGCAGGCACACCACCCACAGGCCACACAUCAUCACAGAGGGCUGGUUCUGCUGCAGUGAGGAACCUGCAGCCACAUGUAGGCAGAAGCAUGGGGUGUGUUUUCUUCUCACAUACGGGUGGAUCUGGAACAGCCUUCAGCUUCCUGGGACUUGAGAGGUGGUUUUGUUCAUAGCGCAAGAGGACAGAAUGUGCAGCUCUUGUUUCCUUUUUUGAGGGCACACCACGAGCUUCCUUCACUCCUGCCUCAACAGGAAGCUCUCUGUUUAGGCACCACAUGCUCCUCUGCACCUCAUCCAGCAGAUCAACAUUGCAGAAGGACAGACAGCUGGGGGAUGUGUGAAGGGAUUAUCCCACCUCACUAAGAGAAGCCAUAGCUACCAAUAGCUCAAAAAUCAAAACCACAUCCCCAAGAAAAUAUAUAGUCUGGGCUGAGCCCACACACCCUAUGGCACCCUUCUCAUAGUUACAGAGCAGAGAGGCAGGAGAGGAAAGGAAGUGAAUUACCCCAAGAUGAUAUUUCCAACUUUUUAUCAUGGGUGAAUGUAUUUUAGACACAACGUUCAGUGUGAAUUACCAAGUGCUGGUAGGUUUCUAUACAGUAAGUCAGGGUUCAGGCUUAGUUUUAAGACCUUUCUCACUGAGUGUUCAUGCUACUUCUUCUUUAUACAGGCUUGCUCUCCACACUGCAGAGUCUGGCCCAUGUAGAAACUAUGUCCUUAACCAGCAGCAUAAGUACUCCUGGCUCUGACCUUUUGGCUUUGAAAACUCAAAAUACAUUUACUGAGGACAGCACAGAUACAGAGUGAUGCAAGUGGAAAGCUCCCCAAAAGCUUUCCCGUCCCUAGGGCACUGAAACGAGAUGCGUUUUCUCAUUGACCUCUUUUGCAGCAGGUGCACAGAUUAAGCAAUGCUACAUUAAAAAGAGCACCCAGAAGCUCCUUGGCAGAGCCAGGACUAGAACCUGCUGGUUUCUCUUUUCUCCAGUGUCCCAGGCUGGGGGAGAGAUGCCUGAGUUUAUUCUGGUCACACAAGGCCAUUUUCUGAUCCCAGACAGGGGUUAAUUUGCAUUUUUCACCAAAACCACACAUAGGUAUCUUCAUUGAGAUGUUCAUGCAGAAACCAUUUUAUUGAGCUGUUCUUGCCUGGUGCUGGGCAGUGAGAAGUCACGAACCUUUCAGUUGGGUCUUCCAGUCAAGGCUACAACCUGUCGUGUAGUCAAAGUAUCUGCAUCCUGCUUCACCACCACUGCUCUGGAAACACUGGCUCAGAGUUAAGAGGCAGCUGAUUCCAGUUUCUUACCCAGGUCCACAUUAAAUCUACUGGCAAGAUCUAACAGAACUGCACACAGAAGAGUACACUUAUGGCUGAAUAGAAGCUAAGGGAAUAAUAACCUGCUUUUCUUGGACCUGGUCCAGUAUUCACUAUAGGGAUUUCCAUGACCAUUAGUAGGAUUCAAAUCAGACCAUAAAGUUCUUGCAAAUUUUCUUCUGCUUUAUUAAAGCAGGGGAAAAAAAUCCAAACCCGACAACAACAACAAAAAACUAUUAAAAAAGCUGUUUCCCCUUUUUCUUAUAUAAUUAUUUUCUUUUCACCUCUAACAACACUGUGAUCUGGUAACUGCCCAUAACAGGAGAAGUACAUUCCUGAGUCCCAGUUUUGCUCAAUGUGAAGAACAACCAACUUGGCCCUGCUCUGAGCUGCUGUGAUGGAAGGUGUGAUCCCUGUGUCUCCAAGACUCACCACUUGUAGCAAGCACUGGAACAACAGAAUUACAGACUGAGAGGACAGUCUCCCUAGAUUAUCAAUUAAAAAUGUCAAA